GAUUAAUUCGAUGCAACGCGAAGAACCUUACCUGGGUUUGACAUGGCCGCAAAACUGUCAGAGAUGGCAGGUCCUUCGGGGGCGGUCACAGGUGGUGCAUGGCUGUCGUCAGCUCGUGUCGUGAGAUGUUGGGUUAAGUCCCGCAACGAGCGCAACCCUCGUUCGAUGUUGCCAGCGCGUUAUGGCGGGGACUCAUCGAAGACUGCCGGGGUCAACUCGGAGGAAGGUGGGGAUGACGUCAAGUCAUCAUGCCCCUUAUGUCCAGGGCUUCACGCAUGCUACAAUGGCCGGUACAAUGGGCUGCGAUACCGUGAGGUGGAGCGAAUCCCAAAAAGCCGGUCUCAGUUCGGAUCGGGGUCUGCAACUCGACCCCGUGAAGUCGGAGUCGCUAGUAAUCGCAGAUCAGCAACGCUGCGGUGAAUACGUUCCCGGGCCUUGUACACACCGCCCGUCACGUCACGAAAGUCGGCA
rnacentral:rRNA from 1 species